rnacentral:rRNA from 1 species
UGGGGAAUUUUGGACAAUGGGCGAAAGCCUGAUCCAGCCAUGCCGCGUGCAGGAUGAAGGCCUUCGGGUUGUAAACUGCUCUUGUACGGAACGAAAAGACUCCUUCUAAUAAAGGGGGUCCAUGACGGUACCGUAAGAAUAAGCACCGGCUAACUACGUGCCAGCAGCCGCGGUAAUACGUAGGGUGCAAGCGUUAAUCGGAAUUACUGGGCGUAAAGCGUGCGCAGGCGGUUAUAUAAGACAGAUGUGAAAUCCCCGGGCUCAACCUGGGAACUGCAUUUGUGACUGUAUAGCUAGAGUACGGUAGAGGGGGAUGGAAUUCCGCGUGUAGCAGUGAAAUGCGUAGAUAUGCGGAGGAACACCGAUGGCGAAGGCAAUCCCCUGGACCUGUACUGACGCUCAUGCACGAAAGCGUGGGGAGCAAACAGGAUUAGAUACCCAAGUAGUCCCUGAGCGGGCUGGCAAGGCGCAU